AUUUCCAAUAUGUACAUGAAAGGAUUCGUCCAGUUUGUCGAACUUUUAUCUUUUGUAUAUGAUAGCUUACAUAAAAUUAUUGUACCUCUUGUGUCUACCGUUCAACUUUUCUUUCUCUAUUUUUUGUUUUUAAAAACACCUCUUGCCACAGCUUUAAGAUGCAUUUUUUUUUUUUUAACCACUUCGUAAAAUGGACGAUGGGAAAAAAAAUAAAAAAACAAAUGUUGACCGACUCUGGCUAGCUUCCCCUUCUAUAUAUUCUUUAACUUCAACAAAACUAUGAGAGUAUAGAUUCAAUUAUUAGCGUUGAAUUCUCUUUAUCCUGGGUUUGUAAAUCGUAAUGAGAGAGAAGAUGAAUUUUGGAGUGAGAUCAGUGAAGCUGCUACUUUCUUCCUCGCUGGUACUUUCUUCGUACACACUAUUUGCUCAUCUCUUCCUGCUAAUUGGUUUAUCCGACGCUCAAAAUAACACCACUACUACGACCGACCCUGCGGAAGGUAUAUGUAUUCAUUUAAUUUCUUCCCAUUAAUUAAUUCUCUUGCUAGCUAGCUAUAGCCACCGCCCUGCCGUUUUCUUUUCUUUCUCUUUCUUUAUUUUGACAUAAAUUCAUUGUGUGUAUGUGUAGUAGCAUGAUUCUUUUAGAAAACAAUUAAUUAUAUAUUCAGAGUGAGCCGUAGAAAGUCAGACGACAUUAACAAUUAAUUUCUCUUUCUUUAACAC
rnacentral:lncRNA from 1 species